rnacentral:rRNA from 1 species
GACGAACGCUGGCGGCGUGCUUAACACAUGCAAGUCGAACGGAAAGGCCCUGCUUUUGUGGGGUGCUCGAGUGGCGAACGGGUGAGUAACACGUGAGUAACCUGCCCUUGACUUUGGGAUAACUUCAGGAAACUGGGGCUAAUACCGGAUAGGAGCUCCUGCUGCAUGGUGGGGGUUGGAAAGUUUCGGCGGUUGGGGAUGGACUCGCGGCUUAUCAGCUUGUUGGUGGGGUAGUGGCUUACCAAGGCUUUGACGGGUAGCCGGCCUGAGAGGGUGACCGGCCACAUUGGGACUGAAAUACGGCCCAGACUCCUACGGGAGGCAGCAGUGGGGAAUAUUGCACAAGGGGCGGAAGCCUGAUGCAGCAACGCCGCGUGCGGGAUGACGGCCUUCGGGUUGUAAACCGCUUUCGCCUGUGACGAAGCGUGAGUGACGGUAAUGGGUAAAGAAGCACCGGCUAACUACGUG